UACAGAGGGUGCGAGCGUUGUCCGGAAUCACUGGGCGUAAAGGGCGCGUAGGCGGCUCGGUGAAGGUUGCGGUGAAAGCCCGGGGCUCAACCCCGGGUCGGCCGUGGCAACUGCUGAGCUGGAGCACUGUAGAGGCGGGUGGAAUUCCGGGUGUAGCGGUGGAAUGCGUAGAGAUCCGGAAGACACCAGUGGCGAAGGCGGCCCGCUGGGCAGUGGCUGACGCUGAGGCGCGACAGCGUGGGGAGCAAAAGGG
rnacentral:rRNA from 1 species